rnacentral:lncRNA from 1 species
GAAAAUGUUUAACUGGGUUAAUUUUUUACAAAUCAUAUAAUUUCUGUAAUGAAUUUUAAAUAGAAUUUCUUAAUCAGUUUUUCCCCUUUGAUUCCCAAGGCUUUCUAUGGUAGCAAAUUAUUUCAGCACUAAAUCAUGAAGGCUGGAUUCUUGAAGUCUGGCAGAGGCGAAUGUCUCAUUAAUGCUGAUCAGAGAGACAUCUGUGAUGAUCCUGAACAUCAGGCCAAUCUGCAGAGCUGAUCAGUGGCUGAUGAGUGGUCCUGAAGUGAGUCAUGCUGGGAAUGAAGACUCCACGAGAAUGAGUACACAGAAACCUCUCUGGACCACUCUGGCGCUGCUGCCAGGGGAUGGGAAAAGGAUGGUGUCAGUGAUUCAAGACUGUUUUUCUACCUUUUCUGUGCCUGCUUCAGCAAUAUGAAGUUAAAAUCAGAUACCGUGAGUGUUCCCCUAAUUUUGGACUCUAAUGAAGGUGCUGUGUAUGUGUGUGUGUGUGUGGAUGUGUGUACAUAGUUGUUAAAUUGGUGUCCUCGCAGGGGAAAUGAUUGGCAGACCCUUCUGUGUCACCACCUUGUUCCACCUCCCCACUCCUCAUCUUUAUCUUUCCUUGUUUAUUUUUCAUAGCAAAAUUAUCUUCUAAUAUACCAAAUAAUUUCCUUACUUUUAAGUAUUCUAUAUUUCCACUCACCUGUCACAAGCAUUACAAAUGUAGCAAUGUUUGUAUGUUUUGUAUAACAGAACGGUGUCUGGCCUGUAGGAAGUUUUCAGAUAUUUUCUAAUGGAUUCAUUCAUUUAUUCCAAAAUAUUUUACUGGAUGCAGUGUGUUAUGCAGUGCUCUUACUGUAUUUUCAUGUGCUGCAUUUUCUGUAGUGCUAUAGCUCAUGUAAGUAUUUACAAUUAUUUUAAUAGUGAUCUUUCAGGAUUAUUAUGUGUAGUCUGUGAGUUGUUAGAUAUAAUGUACAUAGGACAAUCUUGGUACAUACCAAGUGAUAUAUAAAUGUGAAUUUUACUUUUGGAGGGAAAAGGAAUUGCUUUCUAUAAUAAAUAUGGUCUAGGUUGGAAAUAGGUUUUCUAGGCUGGAAAGAAAUGUAAAUACUAUUAUUCCUUGGCUUUUUUGAAUACAGAAGCUCAGAAGUGCUCUUUUAAAAUAAUUUCACAUGCACCAUUUUAUGGAAUAUAGUAGAAUAUAUGUAAUGUAAC